ACCCCACACUAAUUAAGCCGACCUUCUUGAUGCAUCUUUAUCGGAAGCGUGUGCUCGUUGUGGGAACAGCAAAGUCUGCGCAUUGUGUAUGGUUUAAUUUUCUUUUAAAUUCAACCAAAGAAUUAGCGCAGGACA
rnacentral:snoRNA from 1 species